AAGAAAAUAGAAAAGGGAGGAAAUGGAGAAGGAUAUAGAUUUGUUCUUUCUGAUAUUUUUAAAACUUUGAAUGUUCUUUUUGAUCCCAAUUCUUUUGCUCUUCAAAGAGGGAUGUUCUUCAAAACA
rnacentral:ribozyme from 13 species